CAAUUUUAGGUUCCAGUUAAAGAGUCACCUAAAGAUUUUGUGUUCAUGAAUCUGUUCUGAAGGUGGCUCACUUUCGUGCCUCAUAGAUGAGGGCUGGUUGCUCAAGGAGGCAUCUGUUCUCUGUCACAUGGAACUUUCUGUGUCACACGCUCAAGGUCGCCGAGUGUCCUCACUGUAUGUCAGCUGCCUUCCUCUACAGUGAGUGACUUAAGAGAGCACAAUAUCAUUUAUGACCUUGUCUUAAAAGUCAUAAUCCAUCAUCUCUGAGGGAUUGUACUGGCUGCACAGGUCAACCCUGUUCUUUGCUUGAGGGCAUCAAUACCAAGAGUCAAGAACCACUGGGAAACAUCCUGGAGCUCUCAGUUCGAACUGAGGUUAGAAUGCUGAGUAUGCUUUCAGUUGAGGGAUGAAGUGAAGGAAAGCAUGAAAAGGCAACAGGCUUGGAGGAAAGACUCGGGGGAGAUGAAAAAGCAAUGACUUGGAACCAGGAGGAGCGUGGAAGCUUCAGCGAGGUCACACUCUGAUGGGAAGAGGCUUCAAGGAUGAAACAAUAAACUGGGAAAGAGAUGACAAGAAAGAACCCAGAACUGGAGAAACAGGUUUUUGGCUCAGGUCUGUGGGGUGAUUUUCGAUCUGGCUUCUAUUUUAGCUAGAUCAGGCUUACUGGCACUUGCCAGCCCUGGGACAAGGAGGAGGUUCAGGUGUCUGAACAGGGCCACUUACAGCUCCAAUCUUGGGAUUGGGAUCCCAGAGGUGGAGAAGGAAUGAAAUCAUGCUCUUUUUUAUCUCUUCAGCGAAAAAUGUCUUCCACUGUCUUCCUGUCAGGGAUGCCAGAUUUUCAAACAAGAUGAUGGCAGUCAGUCUCAUGUCAUCUUGCUCCUGUGGUGACAAGUGCAUCUUUUUAUAAGCCAUUCCCUGCCAGCACCCUCUAGGUACCCACUUGAAAGUACUUCCCUACUUCAGUAAAGA